rnacentral:misc_RNA from 1 species
GGAAAGUUAUUUGUGUUAAUUAAAGAAAAUUUGUCAUUAAUUUUGAUGUUAUAAAAAAUAAUUUACACUAUUUGAAAAUAUAUCUAUACUCGGAUCAUUUGAAAUAUAAACUUUUGAUUAAUAAGAUAAAUUCAACCUCUUCAAUAUGAGACUUUAUAAGAAAUUGAAGUUUCCGUUCGAAGUAACUAAGGGGAGAGCAGAAGACUUGUACCGACUCCGUUUUAUGCGGAAAAGCGAACUUGAACCUUCUGUGAGACAUAAUUUAAGACACAAUGUUGGCCAAAUGGGACGCCAAUUAGAUCUGUGGUUUAAAGAGCAAUUAUUUACGAUAGGAUCUUUAAAUAAAGAACAAGAAAAAAUAAAUCAGUCACGAAAAAGACUUAAAACUGAAAUCCGACGAUCGAAGAAGCGUGAAUAUGCGAGACAGCAAGAAGAAAUACGGAUAAAAUUGAAAAACAUUAAGAUGAAAAUGUUGAUGAUGAAAGUGAUACAAAAGUUUAAGGAGAAUGUGUCAAUAGCAAGGUCUUACAGGAGCGGAGAGUCUCGUCUUAAAGGAAACGUAGAUGUGCUUCGAGUGUCUGGUAAUAAACAACUGAUUCACGGUUCUAGCGAAAAACAGAAAACAUCUCAUGAUAUUGAAACAGUUGAAAGGGAUAAUCAAGACUAUGUUACUGACGAAGAACAUAGAAAAUCCAAUAAUGAUGGAGAGGAUAGAGUAACGUUAUCAAACGGAGAAAAGCAUCAAAGAAAGGAAGCUGUUGGAAAAAGUAAAGACACCUUGAGCAGAACGCAUUUACAAUUCUAAGGAAGUCGCUGAAACAAAUGAUUUUUGUGAUAUACCUACAGGCUCCUAUGACUAUGACAGUAAGGACAAUGAUGUAGACGAUGACGACGUACUUGGUCAAAGAUAUCCAUCCUCGCGUGGAUCAAGAAUGGAGACGAUCCCUGAAGAGGCAGAAGAAGUUGAAGUAGAAAUGGAGGAUUUAAGAAAUUUUCCGAAACUUACAAAGAGACGCUUACAUUUGCUAAAUCGUAGUCAGUCAAAGCGGAACAUAUUUGACGUCAACGAUAACGUUCCAUUGCUGCCGGAAGUAUCUGGUCAUCACGUGCAGUCAAACGAUAUGGGGCGCCAUCUACCGGACACUGCUGACAAGGAGACACAAACCUCUGACAAACCAGAAUUUGGCAAAACAAAAAGGAAAAAGCCAUCACAUCUUCGGAGAGCAGCAGACAAUUCCGAACGAAAUGGAAAAAAGACAAUUGUCGUAAAAUUACCACGAUCAAAAAUUCCGACGCCAAGAGAGAGGAAAAAUUCGGCAAAGUCUAACAGUGGUCACUGCGGUUCCGACGACUCCGACGAAGACUAUAACGACGAAACGACGGACACAGAUUUUGCUUACGGCUUUGAAUCAGAUUUAGUAACAUCUGAACUAACUGAAUCCUGAUAACGAUGAUGAUGCAGUGAAUGAACCGUCAGUUGGCCAUAAAAUGCCGGACUUUACUUUGACUAAGCAUAAAAGAGAGAAGCGGUCAAACAUCUCAGAGUCUUCCAUCAGUGACAAAUAUUGAAGCCAACUUUCCAAAUAUAACUACGUUUAGUAUUCAGAAUUCUUACUCAUUAAGGUACAAAGAACGGAGCUUCGUUUUAAAUACAUUUGAAAGGGAGAGAGCAACCGGAAGUGCCAAGCUUGAACGAAAGUCUCGUGAAUUGUACUCUGAAGAUAAUAAUCAAGUACACAGUCCUAGACAAGCUAAUAGUGGUUUAACUAAAGAUAUGAAAAAGAAGAGAAGUGAAGAAAUAAGAAAACUUUUAAUGGCAGAUAAUUGCACGAAUAAACAAGAAAAUCCUAAUAUUGCCAUAUAUGGAAGAAAGCCAGAGGGAGUUCCAGCUGCCACAUUUUCCUUCUCCGCCAAAUUCUCCAGGACCUAAAUCUUGGUUAUCAAGGUUUUAGCCCCAGACGUUCGGCUUCCCUCUCACAUCAGAAAACAUUUACUAUACACACAAACACGUAGCAAAGGCUGAACAGCAAGAAAAAAUACAUAAUAUUGUAAGCAGUGAACCCGUUCAGAAAUAUGAACGGAACGCGCAGCUGGAAAAAUUCGUCCAUUCGGAACACCCCGGAUACCAAAUCUUGAAAUUGCCUCAUUGCGGGAACAAUAUUACAGAGAUAAACUGUUGAAAGCAGAACGAGACAGUAUUUUGAAACAGAACAUGAAAAUGAAGAAGUUUAUAGGAACAUUUGAUAAAGAUUCGUUAAUAGAAGAACAGUUUGCCAGAUUAGAUCGCGGACAAGGAGUGAUCCUGCCAAACUGCCGACCGUUUCCAGUGGUGCGGCCGCUGGAACUGAAACCGGCACCACAAGUGGCUCUACAGACAGACCAAAGAAAUCGCUUGGAAAUAUCCUAUUUAAAGUUUACGAACCGGAGCAGAACGUGGAGUUUGAACGAAAAGUAGUGCCUGGUGUAUCAACAACCUCUUUACGGCUUUUGAAAAACUGCAGAUACCUACGCGAAUAUAAACCAAUGACAGAACUAGAAAAGGAGGAACUACAUUCUGAGAGGAAGACAAGCUGGGAUGCAGCUAAAACUAAACCGGAAUACAGCAACGCCUAUCUUGCAAAUGUCCGAGUCAACCUGAUUUAAUAGUUGUGUGUCUUAGAACAUUAUUUUUUCCACCAGCUACUCAUAAAAUGGUCAUUUUAAGCUUUGUAGUAAAGUGCUAGGUAUAAAAAGACCAUAAACUUACUGUUGUGAAUAUUAUACCGUCGAUGUUUAACUUAAACGAGUAGAGGUCAUCUUAGCGGCCGCUCGAAUUGAAUCCCGGUGUCAUUCUGCUGGAUCGUGUACAUGUACGAUCUUAGAUUUUCUGAAAGGUCUGUCUUUUGUAUUGUUUUAUUGUUAAUAUAAUCGAAGACAUUAGGUGCAGAUAAGGUAGCUCAAUAAAAUAAAGUGUCGUUAUGGUCUUGUAAUCUCUCAGUAAAUAAAAAGAUCCUCUGGACGCAAAGAAAGCAGCCAAGCAAAAUAAUAGCAAACUCGGUUUGAUUCAGUCUAGUCAUGAGAGUUAAUGGAAAGUGCAACAUCUCUCAUGCCCUCUAGCACCGGCUUAAGUGGAAUUCUAUUAUAUAGAUAUUGAAUGGACUCCAUGAUUCCAAACGACCAGAAAAUAUAACAACACUGAAUCCAAGUACGUGGAGACCUUUUACUGCAGCCACACGGGCACUUGGAGCUUGCUGUUGUGAUAUUAAAUAAAAUAAGUAAAAAUAUCCCUUUGAAGCAUAAAAUUCAACCAAGCAAAAUAAAAGCAGACUCGGUUUGACCGUGUCUGUUCAUACAGUAAGUACUUCAUAAAUGAGUCGAAUGUUUUGCACUAUUCAUUUGGGCACUAAUUAAUGGGCUUAGAUUAAUUCAAGAGCAUCACCUCUGAGUACCCACGAUAGUCUGUAUUCUGUAAUGUAUGAUAUUAGGAACAGGCAAGAAAAUAGUUAUGGUUCUUGAUAUCACUCAUCAGCAAAAAAAAAACUUAUUGCAUGUAUCUCUAUCCAAUGGAUAUACAUAUACAAACAUUUUCAACUGUGACAAAAAAAUUCAAGUUAGUCUGAUGAUGUAAUGAAACAGGUUUGAAAGGUUCGGAAUAUUGUAUAUUCUAUAAAUCAUUGUUUAAUAUGUUACGGAGAAAGAUGAUAAACUGUAAUGCUUGAAUCUAAAUUGAAAUAUUGAAACUUUGCUGAAUUAUCAAACCUGUCACAAAACAUGUAGCCCAAGGGUUAAACAGGUAUACUUAGUUGUUUAUACCAUUUACUUCCGGGAUCAAAGUUAGAUAUGUUUAAGGAAGAAGGCACGACGAAUUGCGUAAUUUUACAUAGCGGCUAGACUGCUUAAUUAAAUAUAUAUGCUGAAAUAUAAUUAUCGAGUGUCAGAGAGAGAGAGAGAGAUGGGGUAGAAAUGCUAGAUUGAUAAGGUCACCUUUACUUGAUAAUAUACUGUUGCCAUGUUAAAUAAAACUGGUUAAAAGGUUAA